rnacentral:rRNA from 1 species
AGAAUCAACGCUGGCGGCGUGCCUAACACAUGCAAGUCGAACGAGAAAGUGGGAGCAAUCCCACGAGUAAAGUGGCGCACGGGUGAGUAACACGUGACUAACCUACCCUUGAGUGGGGGAUAACCUAGGGAAACCUGGGCUAAUACCGCAUAAUACCUACGGGUCAAAGGAGCAAUUCGCUUAAGGAGGGGGUCGCGGCAGAUUAGUUAGUUGGCGGGGUAAUGGCCCACCAAGACAGUGAUCUGUAUCCGGCCUGAGAGGGCGCACGGACACACUGGAACUGAAACACGGUCCAGACUCCUACGGGAGGCAGCAGUGGGAAUUUGCGCAAUGGGGGAAACCCUGACGCAGCAACGCCGCGUGAGGAUGAAGCCCCUUGGGGCGUAAACUCCUUUCGAUCGGGAAGAUAAUGACGGUACCGGAAGAAGAAGCCCCGGCUAACUUCGCGCCAGCAGCCGC